rnacentral:lncRNA from 1 species
GAGCUUAUCCUCCACUGCUCCGGAGUCUUCUUACAGGAUCCCCAGGCGAUCCUGCACAGCCGUAGUCCCCACCAGCUCUGGUACCGGGAGAUCCUCCGGAGGUCGGCGAGUCACGCCGAGCGUGUGGCCAGGACUGGCGGGACCCGGUCACCACCUGCCUUGGGGACCUGAGUGCCUGUGAGCUGCGGAGCUUGGGGCGAGUCCCCACCGGCGGGUGGCCCUGGGUCCUGUCCCCUGGUUCCGCGGCGGGGGUGGUAGAUGCCGGCUCUCCGAGGUCAGCUGCACAGUGUAUUACCGAGUCCCCGAUGGCGGGUGGCCCUUGACUUUGGCCCUUGGUUCCUCCCGCUAGGUGCGUUGGGAGGCAGGUUCCCCAGGUCAGCUGCAGAGCAUGGCCGAGUCCUCUCUGGCGGGUCGCCCUGGGCCCUUGUCCCAUGGGUGAGCUGGGCAGCAGGUCCCUGCCCUCUUUUCUCCUCCCUGUUGGCGACCUCCCUGGUACAGAUCUGGGCAGCUUAUGUGGCCUGAUGCUCCCAGAGUGCGUGGUGAGCAGGGGAGGGUCAGGGUUCUGGACCCAGGUGUGUUCUGAUUGUGACAUUUGGCCUUAGGGGUCCUGUCUGUCCCUCUUUCUCCCCAGGAUUAACCUGUGAGUCCUACAGACACAUACUCCUAAAUGUGCAGGAACCGGUAUCAAAUCCAUUUUCCAUUCUGGAACCUGGCUCCUCCUAAGGCUGGCAGCAGACACCUGAAAUUCCAGUUCCCUCCCACAUUCCCAAAUGCACCCUCCAGUUCACACUUUGCCAACCAUUUGUUCCACUCUACAUUCAAAUAGACAGUGUUUUAAUUGUGGUAGUUUCACUUAUUAAUGAAUGUCAUUUAAAAAAAUUAUUUAUUUUUUAACAUGCACAAACAUUUCCCAAGAGUGGAAUGCAGAGAGGAAUGACCCUGAAGUUGAGUUUCAAAAGUACUUAUUCCUCUCUUCAUCUUGCCCAGACACUGCACCUAUGCAGUGCCUUUGGGCAGAGGAGUUCUUUGGACAUUGAACAGGAUCCUGUGUCCUCAGUCAUUGCUCUGUCUUUUCCUGGGGCUGCUGCAAGUUGCCCUAAGCUUCCCUGUGCCCUGCAGGGCGCAGGCAAUUUCAAGCUCCUCAUCAGCUCCUCCUAGAGGACAGCCUGAGGUGUUUAGUGCAGCCUCCCAGAGGAGCAGCUGGAGACACCCAGGUGAGGCAGUGAGAUGCUGGUGUUGAGGGAACAUGACACUCCUGGUUCCUGCCCUCUGGAUGCCCUCAGAGCUUUGAAGGAAGAACAGUUAUCUUAAAGAGCAGGGGAAACUGACCCCAGCAAGGUGGAGCAAAGCCCUACAAAGCUCUUCAGCAGCAGGAGGGGGUGGGAGGUUGUGCCUGGUGACAGAAGCCUGACCUGAAGCUGGAGUCUGACAGGUCAGUGCCCAGUGGUGCUACAGUUCCCCAGGUUUGUUGCCUUGGAAAGACUGGCUCAGGUAUUUUAGUGUCAGUUUUUCAUGAACUGUAAAAUGUAGUUUAUUAGUAGAGCUG